GCAGCGUAGCUGAACAUCUUACGGAUGGCCCAGGGCUCCAAAGGCUCGUUUCCUAAGUGAGAGAGAGCCUGGCUGAAGCUGUAUUACCAUUCAUUCUCCAGCCUCCGAAGUCUCAAAGCAUCACUUCCACCAUACUCUAACUGUCAAGACAAACACAAAGGCCCAGAAACUGCCAGACUGUCUUCUGAAGUGGCUAUAAUAUUUACACUCCCAUCAGCAGUGUAGAAGGGGUCUCACUAUGUUGUCUGGAGUGCUGUGGUGGAGUGGAGUGGCUAUUCACAGCUGAGUUUGCAGAGUAAACCACUACCCUGAAAUCUGGAAAGGCAGGUGCACCCACAGAUCCUCAGCUGAGAUCCAAUUACCUGAAAUAGAAGCUGCCAUUAGGAACACUUAAAAGAGCCUGUUCUGCUGGGACACAGAAUCACUUGCUCCAUCUCAUACAUUGAUGAUGAUUAAUUUGUAUGUGUACCUUCCAAAAAAGAUGGUUGUGUUUGAAUGGAGGCCUUCUGGACAGGAAAAUUGCAAAGUACAAUUAACAUUUGAGUCUGUCUGAGUCAUGAAGAAAUGGAGAUUACUGAAAAUAAUUCAUUUUGGUAUCUUCUUACAUCCUGAGAGACUAAUCUUUCCAAGUUCAUCUGAGGCUCCUCUUCUCCAUGACAACCUCAUCCAGGGAUUUCUUCCUGUCCUGGUGUUUUAUGACAUCAUCCUCAUCUCGCUUGUAAGGAUAAUAGCCUUCCUCCAAACCUCACACACUUUUGGAGGAGAUCACUUUUUUUAAAGUGCAUGGAAAUGUUUUGAAACAGUGAAAUCUAUAAUGAUAGGUUUCAUAAUUCUAACAUCCACACCAUAUGAAUCACAUCCUUCCUGAGAUAAUGAGCACACAAUUGCCUGGAUACCUGAAGGAAUGGAGACAGCGGCAGAAAACACUGCAGAGAGGUGGAAACAUCCGUUAAUAUUUUAAAAUCCCAUUACUGCUACCAACAAUAAUAAUGGAUGCAUAGAAAUAGAUCUGGAUUAGCUGAGCUUGAAACAGUCCAUCUCACACACACACAAAAGAAUUUCAGAUACAGUGAACCCACAUGUUGAAGCUUUCUAGUAUAAUAAAAAUUUCAACUGUUCUGUUGAAUCAUCUGCCUGAUUGGAGGCUACAGAAAAGAUGUCAUCUUAGGAGUGCUUGCUCUGAGUGAGGCUCAUCUUCAAAUCUGAAUGACCACAAGGAGAUUUGAUUAUACAUGUGAACACCUCAGAAGGCACAGCCCACCCAGAAGGCAGACAGGUCAGGCUGCUUUUUCUUCAUUGCUUGGAUUCAAUCCUCCGGGCGGCUCAGGCUCAAACAUAACUUAAGCAUGAUUAAACUUUAGAAGAAGCUGCCAGGAAGACUGUGAAAUCUUCAUGCCCAAGGAUCCCUAAAAUUAGGAGCAACAACCACUUGGCUCAGACGGUUUAUGGAGGCAAAGGUUUGGAUGGGAUUAGAGAUUUCUAAAUGUGAGUUCGUGUCCUCUGCCAGACCACCUUACUUCCACCAUUCCUCAGCAAAUCAAGAAAAACAGGAGAAAAGACAUGCCUUUCCAUAAGUUAAAUCUAUUCUGUUUUAAUUCUAUAUUAUAUCUGCUGUACAACUUCUUUUGUUUGUAACACCAUAUUGUUGCUAGUAACUGGAAAUUAAUUUUCACAUGCCUCAGCUUAGAAAAAUAAAAAGCAGCCCUGCAUCAAUCCCA
rnacentral:lncRNA from 1 species